UACGUAGGGGGCAAGCGUUGUCCGGAUUUAUUGGGCGUAAAGAGCGUGUAGGCGGCUGGGUAGGUCCGUUGUGAAAACUCGAGGCUCAACCUCGAGACGCCGAUGGAAACCCUCCAGCUAGAGUCCGGAAGAGGAGAGUGGAAUUCCUGGUGUAGCGGUGAAAUGCGUAGAGAUCGGGAGGAACACCAGUGGCGAAAGCGACCUUCUGGGCUGCACCUGACACUCUAGUGCGAAAGCGUGGGGAGCAAACAGG
rnacentral:rRNA from 1 species